ensembl:lncRNA
CGCCAGCAGGACAGGCGGCCACGCAAGGACAGGCCCAAGCCCUGGCUACAGGGAGGCCUUGGCCACAGAACUACCGUGUGGCUCUGAUCUGCACUAAGGAAAAUAGUAGGAAGACAGGACACUCGCUGCGCUCGCAGGACUAAGAGGGAACACCCCUUUUGCGGCAUGCACCAAAGUCCUCCAUUCCCCCUGGGAAGUCAAAGCUAAGCUUUUUCUGUCAAACAGCGUACAACUCCCUCAGCAAUAAAUCCACUUGCCCUUAUUACCAAUAUCCUACCCUGUUUUACUUCCCAGGAAAACAACGACAACAACAACGAUACAUCCCCAACCCACAGAGCAAGGACAUGCACAAUGCUGGGUUUUAUCCCUCUGUUAAAACAAAUAAAACUAAAAUCAGAACCGAAGAAAAUGCUUGCAGAGUUCUCUGUCAGUUCUGUAGCCAUUUACAGACCACCACCACCAAGGGCACCUCGUUGAGAAGACUGAAACAUCCCCGCCUUGUAAUUGUAUCACAGUUGUGAAAAUAAAAUUCAUUUCCAAACAUUUCCCUAAGAUGUUCAAAGCCUGGACCGCCAAAGCAAAAUGCACCAAGACCCCAGCAUUUCAUCUAGCUGUCUAAAAUAUUAAACUUUUCAUAUAUGCGGGAUUGGAAUGCGUCCUUCUCCAAGUGCACUUCAGAGCGCUCGCCCCACAUCAGCAACGGUAGUUCCGGCAUACUGCAAUUUCCCAAUCCCCACGGGAAUGCCUGCAAGGAUUCCAUCUGAAGGUUUAGGCGACAUCCAAAGUUAGUGGGCGCUUCAGCAGCUGAAAUAGAAAUGCUGUUCAGCUCCCCGGCCAUUUUCCAGACCGUGCCUCUAAUAAGAACAGUACACUUGCAUGCGUUCCUGAACUACAAUGGGACAGGACAGUGAUUAAAGUAGUGAAGCAUAGCGCAGUAUCUCUCUGGUAACAUACAUUGUGUAUGGAAUGGAGCGUAAAGGGAAAUGAGAUGAACUUUGUACAGCUCACCUUAAUUAAGUCGUGUCCCGAUGGAAAUUAAUUUGAAUGUUAAAGCAUGUAUAUACAUUGUCUGAGCUUUCUCUCAGUGCCCACUUCAAGCCACAUGCACUGUCCCGGGUCUGUCAGUUCCGGGUGUUCACAUACAUUCUCCUAUUCAUCCAGCUGGCCGUCACUUUGUAUCUUGCAAGUGGUUAACAGCAAAUUCUAUGGACAGUAAGAGUUACAUCUUAGCACCUUUCCAAACAUCUGCCAGCCAGCACACCACGCUUCAGCCCGACCACAGGCUUCUGAAUUUCACACUGUUUCAGGAGGUUUUAUUAAAUUAAGACUGUGGAGCACCAUGUUUUUGCCGGCCCCUAGUUUUACUUUGGUUUGUAGUCCCCCUGAGCAGUGAAGGUCUGCACGUUUGUUCCAACAAGACUUAUUUUUCUUAUUAAUUAAUUUAUUUUUUUUUUCCUUUUUCUUUUGUUCGGAAUUGGGGCGAUGGAAAGCGGAGCGGAGACGCACCCAUCGGGGGCCCCUGGAAACCGUUAAGGCCGGGAACGUUCUUCGGAGGGGAGACGCUCUAUCGCGCCGGUCGCGUCGGAUGCAAAGCGACCCGUUUGAAUUGGCACAAUUACUUAACUUAUCGAUGAAUCCCACAGUGCGGCGAGAAGGAGAAGCGCGUAACAAACUGUACUUCAAAGUGUAAUUUAAGUCCCUAAUUCAGAUCCGGAGUCCGCACGUCAAACUGUCAGAGCCCCGGGCCGUCCCUAACGAGGCCGGCUGCGCUAAGGAGGCAACGACUCCCAGGUGCCGCGGGGCCGCGGCCGGCCGGGCGCAGCUGCGCCUCGUCGGGAGCCGCGGGCGGGGCCCGCCCCAAAGCCUCUUAAGCUCCUCCGGAGGCUGCCGGGAGCCACGGGGGAGUUUCUGCGGUUGUGGAUAGGAGACGGAGUGAGUUCUGUUUCUUUGUCGGGCCCUGACGCUGCUGAGGCUGAGAAGCGGCUGCUGUGAGACCUUUCGCGGUAAGGACCAGCCCAAACAGGUCGCCGCCGGGCUCCCCCGGCUGUGCGGAGCCGAUACGGCAUCGCCGCCGUCGCCCGGCCGCCGUCGCAUUUUGGAGGCGGCUGCCGCUCAGACCCCCGAGUUCUCGCGCAGCCCCGGGGUGCUCUCAGCCCCCCCAUCCUCGGGAUUUCUUUCAGCGGGUGCUUCAGUUCUUCAGGCUCUCCUCGGCUGAGCGAGGGCUGCAGCAGAGGCUCUCAUCGGCCCGAAGCAGUGAGCUCGUGGAAGCGGACCGGCACGGGGCCUCCGCCCGAGACCGAGCACGAUCCCGGGG